GUCUAAAAGCUUAAAAUUUAGAAGCUGUAAAUUUUUAAUUUAUCGAUGGUUUUCACCUUAGGCUA
rnacentral:tRNA from 1 species